GACGAACGCUGGCGGCGUGCUUAACACAUGCAAGUCGAACGGAAAGGCCCUGCUUUUGUGGGGUGCUCGAGUGGCGAACGGGUGAGUAACACGGGAGUAACCUGCCCUUGACUUUGGGAUAACUUCAGGAAACUGGGGCUAAUACCGGAUAGGAGCUCCUGCUGCAUGGUGGGGGUUGGAAAGUUUCGGCGGUUGGGGAUGGACUCGCGGCUUAUCAGCUUGUUGGUGGGGGAGUGGCUUACCAAGGCUUUGACGGGUAGCCGGCCUGAGAGGGUGACCGGCCACAUUGUGACUGAGCUACGGCCCAGACUCCUACGGGAGGCAGCAGCGGGGACUAUUGCCCGAUGCGCGGCAGCCUGCUGCAGCGCCGCCGCGUGCGGGAUGACCGCCUUCGGGUUGUAAGCCGCUUUCGCCUGUGACGAAGCGUGAGUGACGGUACUGGAUAAAGAAGCACCUGCUCACUACGU
rnacentral:rRNA from 1 species